rnacentral:rRNA from 1 species
ACGAACGCUGGCGGCAUGCCUAACACAUGCAAGUCGAACGAGACCUUCGGGUCUAGUGGCGCACGGGUGCGUAACGCGUGGGAACCUGCCCUUAGGUUCGGAAUAACUCCCCGAAAGGGGUGCUAAUACCGGAUAAUGUCUUCGGACCAAAGAUUUAUCGCCUUUGGAUGGGCCCGCGUUGGAUUAGCUAGUUGGUAGGGUAAAAGCCUACCAAGGCGACGAUCCAUAGCUGGUCUGAGAGGAUGAUCAGCCACACUGGGACUGAGACACGGCCCAGACUCCUACGGGAGGCAGCAGUGGGGAAUAUUGGACAAUGGGCGAAAGCCUGAUCCAGCAAUGCCGCGUGAGUGAUGAAGGCCUUAGGGUUGUAAAGCUCUUUUACCCGGGAUGAUAAUGACAGCACCGGGAGAAUAAGCUCCGGCUAACUCCGUG